GAUGAACGCUGGCGGCGUGCCUAAUACAUGCAAGUCGAGCGAACAGACGAGGAGCUUGCUCCUCUGACGUUAGCGGCGGACGGGUGAGUAACACGUGGAUAACCUACCUAUAAGACUGGGAUAACUUCGGGAAACCGGAGCUAAUACCGGAUAAUAUAUUGAACCGCAUGGUUCAAUAGUGAAAGACGGUUUUGCUGUCACUUAUAGCUGGAUCCGCGCCGCAUUAGCUAGUUGGUAAGGUAACGGCUUACCAAGGCAACGAUGCGUAGCCGACCUGAGAGGGUGAUCGGCCACACUGGAACUGAGACACGGUCCAGACUCCUACGGGAGGCAGCAGUAGGGAAUCUUCCGCAAUGGGCGAAAGCCUGACGGAGCAACGCCGCGUGAGUGAUGAAGGUCUUCGGAUCGUAAAACUCUGUUAUUAGGGAAGAACAAAUGUGGAAGUAAAUAUGCACGUCUUGACGGUACCUAAUCAGAAAGCCACGGCUAACUACGUG
rnacentral:rRNA from 1 species